CAGUAGCCGCGGUAAAACGUAGGGUGCGAGCGUUAAUCGGAAUUACUGGGCGUAAAGCGUGCGCAGGCGGUUCGUUAAGUCUGUUGUGAAAGCCCCGGGCUCAACCUGGGAACGGCAAUGGAUACUGGCGAGCUAGAGUGUGUCAGAGGAUGGUGGAAUUCCCGGUGUAGCGGUGAAAUGCGUAGAGAUCGGGAGGAACAUCAGUGGCGAAGGCGGCCAUCUGGACUGACACUGACACUGAGGCGCGAAAGCGUGGGGAGCAAACAGGAUUAGAUACCCCGGUAGUCCCUGUCUCUUAUAC
rnacentral:rRNA from 1 species